GCUGUUUAGAAUUCACUAACCUUUUGGUCGCCUAGAUAGGUCAAUUAAUUACAAAACCCUUAGAAACGUAUUCAUAACAAAACGAUAGCGAACUCGUUGAGAAGCGGGAACUUGUUUGCUACGUUAAGACAUAUUGAGUUCCCAAUCUUGAACGGAUUAAAGAGUUGAGCGCGAAAGAGGUCUACAGCACUUUUGGAGGCAGUGAUGGCCAUGGAGUACGCACACAUCGACACAUUCCCAUCGAGAACUGAACCUAGAAGCCAAGGAAAUAUAACAAAUCAAGAGUUAAUGCUGGAAUACAGCCUGGUUAUCUUGCUCCUGGGUUGCUUUGCGUUGGUGUCUCUUUGGUUCAAAUUUUAUCAACAAGUAAUGGAUUAUGAUUCAUUCUUCUGUUUGAAGACAAACUGAACUAAAACUGGAUGACUGGGGAGAACGUCAGGUAGAAACACGUUAGGGAAUCGUCCGCAAAGGAUGGAAUUUAUCAGCACAACAGCACAAAGAGAAUUUUAGAAUAUUACGACAUCACAGAAAAAUGAGCUUUUGCCUUUUCAGAAGACCUUUUGUAGAAUAAAAAAAUUAAUUGUGUUAUUUCUCUUUUUUACAUUUUUAUUUUGACACAUUUUUUUAAAUUCUUGCAUCGUCGCGUGCCUUACAAAUUGGAUAUAUUUAUGGAUGUUCAACGUGUUUUGAAGUUCAGAUGGAAAAGGUGUAGUUAUAAGUUGAUAAACAUGACAUUGAUGAAAACAAUGUAAAACAGCAGGUUCGCGAAAUUGACUUGAUCGGGGGAACUGUGGAUUGUCAUCGACGUGGUUCAAGCUCCUCCUUGUUUUCGAGAAGAAACUCAAGGGAGAUGUUUAUUUAUUUAAAGAUUGCAGUCAGCGAUAAUUGAGCUAUCCUUGAAUUAAUGAAAUAAGUUGUUGCUAAAAAUUGUAACAUACUUACUGGUAGCCAUAGAUGCAUGUACUUGUAUUGCAAACUUGACUGUUUUCUUGGCUAUAUAUUUUUUCUCAGAAUUAAAAAUCUUUCAGUUUCA